GGUUGCCUCUAUUUUAUUUAUUCUUAUCUUGCUUUGGCUCUCUCUCCCACUUGCUCCUAUUACUUUUUUCGGCUUAUUAAAUUUUUCAGUCGCAUUUGAAUCGCAUUCCGAACCCGUAUCGCAUGUACAUCAGUACUAUUUUUGUUUGCCACCUUCGAUAUUCCUCUUUUCUGUUAGUUGGCUGGAAUCCAGACUGACCAGCAGAAUGCUGCGAAAAUUAAUACUAGUAUUUCAUAACAAGUAUUGAAACGAAAUAUACGAUGACAAGUAUGUGAAAGGCAAGACGACAAGACCACUUUCGCUCAGGUUGACUCAUUUCCAGAUUGCGACAAAUUGGUUAUCCCGACGACGUGAUAGAAAAUUACGUGAGUUAAAUUAUAUUAUUCACGUUCACGAAGAACCGUGCAAAAAGAUGGAGAACAGAUAUAUGCCAACGAAGCUAGAGUUGUUUUUCGACAGUUUAAAACACUUGACGGAUAAUGAAAAGACUGAAGUCAUGAUGAGAAUGGGCAUUCAUUACUUGAUGAUGCUUGAACAAACAAUGAUGGAUAAAGAGGUAGAAGAGAAAAAUGAAAAAGUCCAGCAUGAGCCUACAAACCCGUUAAAACCGUCGAUCGAAGACUCGCUAGAAUUACAGAAGCAAGAGAUGUAUAAACGUUCUACGUCAAAACAGGCAAGACUUCUUCGAAGAUUAAGAAAGUCAAAAUCGUAGAUACCAUUGGACAUGGAACACGUCGUUCGAACAAACAUUAGGUUAAACACUGGAAAGAGUAGAAUUUUUAUUCCGCAUAAAUACAUGCAAUACACACAAUACAUGCACAAACACUAAAUUCACUUUGUCCAUUAUUAUCUUUCAGGUAUUCAGCCUUUGUACAUUAAACCAUGUUUCGACGAAUACUAAGUACACAUCGAUCGAUUUCAGGGGACUCAAAUCGAUAGU